UCCAGAUGUCAUCUCCAAAAAGGGUCCCCAAGUGGUGGCUCUGACAGAGAUAUGGAUUCAACCGGAAAACACGGUAACACUGACAGGACUUCCCUCUGUCUUCAACUUCUCCACACCUGCCACUCUACUUCACUACUUCAAUGCUUGCUCAGGAUCUUCCUUCCCAGAUGAUGGCUGCUGACUUCAUCAUUCUUCUUUCCUCCUUCAAUAUUGCACAGCUCCAUACUGCAGCCACUCACAAGGCCUGCAUUCGAAAGACACUCCUGUCCCUGGCUUUCAGAA